rnacentral:rRNA from 1 species
GAUGAACGCUGGCGGCGUGCCUAAUACAUGCAAGUCGAGCGAACAGACGAGGAGCUUGCUCCUCUGACGUUAGCGGCGGACGGGUGAGUAACACGUGGAUAACCUACCUAUAAGACUGGGAUAACUUCGGGAAACCGGAGCUAAUACCGGAUAAUAUAUUGAACCGCAUGGUUCAAUAGUGAAAGACGGUUUUGCUGUCACUUAUAGAUGGAUCCGCGCCGCAUUAGCUAGUCGGUAAGGUAACGGCUUACCAAGGCAACGAUGCGUAGCCGUCCUGUGAGGGUGAUCCGCCACACUCUAACUGAGACACGGUCGUAUCUCCUACGGGCGGCUGCAUUAGGGCAUCUUCCGCACUGGGCGCAAGCCUGACGGUGCCUCGCCGCGCGAGUGUUGAUGGCCUUCGGAUCCUAAAUCUCUGUCUUUAGGGAAGAUCAAAUGUGUAAGUUUCUCUUCGCGGCUUGACCUUGCCUUAUCUGAUAGCCACUGCUCACUCCCUC